GCGUUGACCAUCAUCUACACGGUGAGGUAGUUCAGCAGCAGGUGAAACUGAUAACUUGUAGUUGCGUUGACCAUCAUCUGCACGGUGAGGUAGUUCAGCCAUAGGUGAAACUGAUGACUUGUAGUUGCGUUGACCAGCAUCUAUACGGUGAGGUAGUUCAUUAGUGGCAGGUAAAGCUGAUAACUUGUAGUUGCGUUGGCCAUCAUCUACACGGUGAGGUAGUUCAGCCACAGGUGAAACUGAUGACUUGUAGUUGCGUUGACCAGCAUCCGUACGGUGAGGUAGUUCAUUAGUGGCAGGUAAAGCUGAUAACUUGUAGUUGCGUUGACCAUCAUCUACACGGUGAGGUAGUUCAGCCACAGGUGAAACUGAUGACUUGUAGUUGCGUUGACCAGCAUCCGUANGGUGAGGUAGUUCAUUAGUGGCAGGUAAAGCUGAUAACUUGUAGUUGCGUUGACCAUCAUCUACACGGUGAGAUAGUUCAGCCAUAGGUGAAACUGAUGACUUGUAGUUGCGUUGACCAGCAUCCGUANGGUGAGGUAGUUCAUUAGUGGCAGG
rnacentral:lncRNA from 1 species